rnacentral:rRNA from 1 species
GACGAACGCCGGCGGCGUGCCUAAUACAUGCAAGUAGAACGCUGAAGGAGGAGCUUGCUUCUCUGGAUGAGUUGCGAACGGGUGAGUAACGCGUAGGUAACCUGCCUGGUAGCGGGGGAUAACUAUUGGAAACGAUAGCUAAUACCGCAUAAUAGCAGUUAUUGCAUGAUAACUGUUUGAAAGGUGCAAUUGCACCACUACCAGAUGGACCUGCGUUGUAUUAGCUAGUUGGUGGGGUAACGGCUCACCAAGGCGACGAUACAUAGCCGACCUGAGAGGGUGAUCGGCCACACUGGGACUGAGACACGGCCCAGACUCCUACGGGAGGCAGCAGUAGGGAAUCUUCGGCAAUGGACGGAAGUCUGACCGAGCAGCGCCGCGUGAGUGAAGAAGGUUUUCGGAUCGUAAAGCUCUGUUGUAAGAGAAGAACGAGUGUGAGAGUGGAAAGUUUCACACUGUGACGGUAUCUACCAAAAAAGGAC